rfam:Morus notabilis contig21816, whole genome shotgun sequence.
UAUCCAUGCUGCGGGCAUUUUCUAGUCAACUCCUUAAAACGCUCCCAAGCCUCAUAGAGAGGCUCAAAGUCUAGCUGUCUAAACUGUGCAAUCUCGCUCCUCAGUUG